CUUUGCAUUUUAUUGAAUGAAAAAUAGCCUUCAUUAUUCAGUUGAAAAAAAAACAAUUGGCUCGUUAAGUAAAAGAUUUUCUCAGGUCCGUUUUGAUUGGGAUAAAUAAUGGCUUUAAUGCAAAAAAAAAAAUGCUUUUCAUUUUCUUCUGUUCUUCUUUUGUCUAUUUUUUUGAGUAGAUAUAAAUAAAGAAAAAGUAAUUAAUGGGAUAAAAGGAAUAUUGCAUUUCCACUGAGGAAACUAAACCAUGUCAUUGGCUUAAUUGCAUUAACUCUUACAGUAUUAGGUGGUUAUUUUAUGAGCUAGGAAAGAAAUUUUGGGCAAAAAUGAUGUUACGGUAUUUUAUAUAUAAUAUAUAAUUAAACAUUUGAUAAAAAAGAAGGGGAUGAAGUAAAGAAAGAGAAGACAAUUGAUCAAAUGUUUUUGAUGUAACUUUUUUUACUGUACAGACUUUCCUAAAAUAUCGUGGUUAAACAUCAAUGUUUUUAUAUGUGGAAAUAAAGCUAUGAAUCUCUUAUUAUUAA